rnacentral:rRNA from 1 species
UACAGAGGCCUCGAGCGUUAGGCGGAAUCACUGGGCUUAAAGCGUGCGCAGGCGGUUCGUUAAGUCAGAUGUGAAAGCCCCGGGCUCAACCUGGGAACUGCAUUUGAAACUGGCGGGCUUGAGUGUGGCAGAGGGGGGUGGAAUUCCGCGUGUAGCAGUGAAAUGCGUAGAGAUGCGGAGGAACACCGAUGGCGAAGGCAGCCCCCUGGGCCAACACUGACGCUCAGGCACGAAAGCGUGGGGAGCAAACAGG